rnacentral:SRP_RNA from 1 species
AGCUGUACUGGCCCGUUCGGGACGGAGGCUCACAACAAUCUCACCCCACUAUUCCAUUUCCAUCAGAACCCUAAGACGUUGCCCAGCGCGAGCGUGGCAGCGGUCUCCCACUCGUUUGGGUAGCCAGCGAUGCUGCGUGUGGUCCGAAGUUAUGGAGUCCAAUCCUCAGGGAGGUUUCACUCUGCAAGGUUGUCUUCACUGUUACGCGGCGUGCAGGAUUACAUCAUCUUAGGUUUGGGGUAGAAAGGAGAGAUAGUGAGAUCAACUUCCUUUUU